rnacentral:rRNA from 1 species
CAGUCGCCGCGGUAAUACAGAGGGUGCGAGCGUUAAUCGGAUUUACUGGGCGUAAAGCGUGCGUAGGCGGCUAAUUGAGUCGGAUGUGAAAUCCCCGAGCUUAACUUGGGAAUUGCAUUCGAUACUGGGAAGCUAGAGUAUGGGAGAGGAUGGUAGAAUUCCAGGUGUAGCGGUGAAAUGCGUAGAGAUCUGGAGGAAUACCGAUGGCGAAGGCAGCCAUCUGGCCUAAUACUGACGCUGAGGUACGAAAGCAUGGGGAGCAAACAGGAUUAGAUACCCGGGUAGUCCCUGUCUCUUAUAC